rnacentral:rRNA from 1 species
GAAUCCUGCCUAGCAGAAUGACUAGAGAA